GACAGAUAAACUGCAGAAGAGCAGCGUCUAUCGUAUUUCAAAAAAACGUUGGCAGACAACUUUCUAUAUGGUACGGAUAUACUGACUAUCUUUGCCUAUUUUGAAGUUGGCAUAAGGAAUCAUACAUAUCUCAAAAUCAGAUAUAGAAUUCAACAAAAAUUCUGUUAGCGUACAAAUCGCGCAAUAUAGAAGAAUACAAAAAGCCCUUGAUGACAGAUCACCAAGUGUCAAAGAAGGUCGUACAGGUUAGGACAUUUCUUUCAGCUCCUUGCCAGAUGUAGUGCUGCCGACUUUAUAGGAUUAUAUGUUGAAUUCUACUCAUGUAAAUGUUAGACACAGUGCAGUAUUAGCUACUGUGUAAAUUCUCGAAGCCGUAUACAAUCACUGUAACAAUACAAAUUAGACAUUAUCGGAGCCACGGGCAAUGGAUAAUGAGGAAGAAAUAUUCAUACAUGCAUUACUAAUUCUAAUGCUUGGUAUAUAC